UCGACAAUCAUCUUAACAGUGGGCAGGGUGGUGGAGAUGUUCUGAGGGUGAGGCGGUCGCACUGUGAUGGGAACGCAGCCGGCGUACAGGCAGCCGUAAAGGGCUGCGAUCAGGUCUAUACCUGCAGAAGGAGACACACAGAGCGACGUGAUCUCCUUCCUGCACACCGCCUCUCUCCAUCAGCAGAGCUGCCACUCCCUCCGCCGUCUGCAGACAGGUGAGAGAGCUGGACACUGCCCCCUGCAGGAGGUGAGAGAGGGGAACGGUGUGAGCCAUCAAGAAGCCACCUGCCACACUCAAAGGACAAAGACUGCAGUUCAUCUAACGGUCAGUUCAUCCACAGUUAUGGAUAAUUAUUAUUCAGUUUUCUACUUGCUUGAAUUAGCUCAUAAUCGUCAAAUAUGGUCACACCUAUUUUUAUUUAUUUUCUUAAAUUAACCAUGAUAAUGAAGCCUGAAAUUCCUGAUUUUAUGCUACUGAUUCCAUGGAUAAAGAUCCGUUUUGGUAUCGAUUAUAAUCCACUUUUAUUCCCCUUGUAUUCAGCAUCUUAACACCACAGAGGAGCGAUGACUGAUCUACAGAUUUUUCACCUGCAGGUUAUCGAGCUCAAAACUGUACAAUUUUUUAAGGUGGCCAGUUGUGCGUGGGUGUGCUGGUACCAGAGAGCUGAGCAGGGUUUGGAGAGGACGGGGUCCUGUGUGGUCUGAGCUCUCCACUGCAAACCUCGGACAGGAACAGAAACUGCAAGACAGACAUAAACACUUCUUUUACACACACUUUGAUGGCCUAACCUCUGUGUUUUUUACAUUAAUGUGUUUACGUGUGAUGUACAUGACUAUUGUGCAUCUGGCUCAGUGUUUGAUAUUGUAAAGCAAAGUCAAUAACAGCAAAAAUUUAAUAUUUUACUUUUUAUUUCUGUCGCCCUCCUGCAUCAAUCCCAGAAUCAGCCACACCCUUUACCACAUUUGCUUACUGUAGAGACUCCAAACACGUAGGAGAAAUUUCUCUUACAAUAAGAUACGGUAAUCUUUCUGAUAAUAGGUGAGAUUGCUUUUAAAUAUGGAAACGGGGGUAGUCACAAGAAGUUUGAGAGGCACAACUCAGACAGAAGAGGAGACAGAGAAAAGCCACGUGGAUAGGAGCUACUCUCCUGAGCUAAGGUUAGCCACAGAGGGCACGGAUGCAGACGAGCCCAGCCUCCUGAACAUCCCGAAAGAGCUUCGUGACUUUAGGAAAGACAACAACAAACAAUAUGCGCAUAUUAGACGAGGGUUAAGAAGAGUUGAUGCUAGAGUAGAAGAGGCAGAGGGGCGAUUCGACGAGACUGAGACGGUGCUACAGUUGUUUAUUUUAUUCAUAAACUUCACUAUUUCAUUAAUUAUUUCAUGGUUUCUUUGCAUCUUCAUCUGUAGUACUUCCACAUCGGUGUAUGCUCCCUGUGUUUGCUUACAUUAACCCUGGAGAACCCAUGGGGUCAAAUUUGACCCCAUGGGUUCCCUAGAAAACCAAUGGGGUCGGAUCUGACCCCAUUUGUUCUCCAGGGUUAAAAUACCAGUACUAAUGACCAGAGCAUAGAAAUGCAGCUUUUCAUAUUUGACAAUAUAUUUUGAAAGCACAAGACAAAUCACAAACUGCUUUUAAUUUAGGUUUUUAUUUUCAUUUUGUUUUAUAUUUUUCAGUUCUUGAUUUGAUGGUGAUGUGAUGCUAUAUUACAUUUUAAGAUUCAGUUGAAUUUAAGAUGUUUAAUAUAGCAUCAAAUCACAACCGUCUCCUCAAGUUGCUUUAUACUGUAAGAUAGAGACCCUACAGUAGCAGCAAGAAAACCCCAAUUAAUGAAUAAUCCCUUAUGAGCAAGCACUUGGCGACAGUGGGGAGGAAAAACUACCUGUAACAGGCAGAAACCUCCGGCAGAACCAGGCUCAGAAGGGACGGCCGUCUGCCUCGGCCGUUGGGGGGUGAUGGUAACGAUAAUACGAAGAGACACGGUGAAGAAUAUUUCUCAGUCUAAUUAAAGUCGAAUGAAAUAGUUUUAAAAUAAAAUAUACCUCUGAUGUUAACUCUGAGGCCAGACUGCUUUAAGAUUUUAAAAGAGGUAUUUGAAAAAAAAAUCAAGAUGACAAUUUAGUCAUCAGUACUGCCUUUAAAGCAGCAGCUCUUUCUCUGCAUUACACUAAACUGAAUAGUUUCGGGAUGCUCAAUUUGACAUUAACGUUGAAAGAGCAGUUACAGUUCUUAAAGUUACAGAAAGAACACACAGUCGCAUGACUACUAUUUCUUUUCUCGUUUUCAGGCUUGUUUUCAGCCUCUUUCAGGCUCUGAAACACAAUGAUUUGUUGUUCCACACCGCAGUCAGCUGUGUUGGAACUCUGCAUGCAGCACAGACAGGAGGAAAAAAGUCGACCUACAAAUGAGAAAAAUCGACUUAUGCGACUUGGUCUCUUGGAUAGUUUGGCUGCUUCCUCUAUGAGAGUUACAAAAAUUAUGUUGUCGAUGAGUGGGAGAUUUAAUUUCAUCAUUAGCAGCACUGUUUCUGCACUUUGCCACUUUUUACAAAGGGCGUUGCAAAUCAUCUUUAAGGGCCUGUGAGACUGUAUUAAGAGAUUUACAUGAAGUUGAUCCUCCAUUUCAGCCCAGAUUUUGCUGGUAAGCCUCAUGGAGAUGGCUUUAACUUCUUGCAAACUGAUGACUUCACCUGAUUUUCUAACCAAUCGCCUAACCAGGAAUUGCAUACCCAUUUCCAAAUAUAAUCUCUUUUUCUCUCUCUGUUUUUUCUCUUCUAUUGGAGUUCCAGUUUCUUCGGUUUCUGUUGUUUUCUGAUUUUGUAUUGAAAUGUUUUUCCUGUCAAUACAAGCGUUACAAGUAUGAUUAUGACUUUUUUCUUCUGUAUUUGUCACAUUUCCGGGCAUUACAUUUUCUUUAGGCUCUGAAAUAAAAGCUGAAUCACUCCUA